UACGGAGGAUGCGAGCGUUAUCCGGAUUUAUUGGGUUUAAAGGGUGCGUAGGCGGGCUGUUAAGUCAGCGGUAAAAGCCCGGGGCUCAACCCCGGCGAGCCGUUGAAACUGGCUGUCUUGAGAUGUCGAGAGGUAUGCGGAAUGCGCAGUGUAGCGGUGAAAUGCUUAGAUAUUGCGCGGAACUCCGAUUGCGAAGGCAGCAUACCGGCGGCGAUCUGACGCUGAGGCACGAAAGCGUGGGUAUCGAACAGG
rnacentral:rRNA from 1 species